GAUGAACGCUGGCGGCGUGCCUAAUACAUGCGAGUCGAGCGAACAGACGAGGAGCUUGCUCCUCUGACGUUAGCGGCGGACGGGUGAGUAACACGUGGAUAACCUACCUAUAAGACUGGGAUAACUUCGGGAAACCGGAGCUAAUACCGGAUAAUAUAUUGAACCGCAUGGUUCAAUAGUGAAAGACGGUUUUGCUGUCACUUAUAGAUGGAUCCGCGCCGCAUUAGCUAGUUGGUAAGGUAACGGCUUACCAAGGCAACGAUGCGUAGCCGACCUGAGAGGGUGAUCGGCCACACUGGAACUGAGACACGGUCCAGACUCCUACGGGAGGCAGCAGUAGGGAAUCUUCCGCAAUGGGCGAAAGCCUGACGGAGCAACGCCGCGUGAGUGAUAAGGUCUUCGGAUCGUAAAACUCUGUUAUUAGGGAAGAACAAAUGUGUAAGUAACUAUGCACGUCUUGACGGUACCUAAUCAGAAAGCCACGGCUAACUACGUG
rnacentral:rRNA from 1 species